rnacentral:rRNA from 1 species
UUGAAAGGGAAACGAUUGAAGUCAGUCGUACCAGCGGGAAAUCAACCUUUCGAGUGGGGGUUUUGGAGUUUUGAAGAGUGUUAAAACCUUUGAGAUUUCAAAAUGUUCGCUCUUUUGGUGUACUUUCUCGUAGGUAGGUUAACAUCGAUUUUGAUCAUCAUAAAAGGAUUGGAGGAAUGUAGCUUCGAUCUCGUAUUGAAGUGUUAUAGCCUUUGGUAAAUGUGAUGAUUAGGAUCGAGGAUUGCAACGAAUACCCUUUUGGGCUAUCCGCCUGAUCUCUGAUACGUGACCUUGGUAUUGAAAGCGUGCUUAUGAUAUUGAGGUAUUACGGUCAAAAGGUUAGAACGGAUUACAUUCGUUAAGGAUGUUGACGUA